CAAUAGCGUAUAUUUAAGUUGCUGCAGUUAAAAAGCUCGUAGUUGGAUUUCGGGUGGGAAUGGCCGGUCCGCCGUUUCGGUGUGCACUUGCUACGCCCACCUUGCUGCCGGGGACGUGCUCUUGAGUUCACGCUCGGGACACGGAGUCGGCGAGGUUACUUUGAGUAAAUUAGAGUGUUCAAAGCAGGCCUACGCUCUGAAUACAUUAGCAUGGAAUAACACGAUAGGACUCUGGCCUAUCUUGUUGGUCUGUAGGACCGGAGUAAUGAUUAAGAGGGACAGUCGGGGGCAUUCGUAUUUCAUUGUCAGAGGUGAAAUUCUUGGAUUUAUGAAAGACGAACUACUGCGAAAGCAUUUGCCAAGGAUGUUUCAUUAA
rnacentral:rRNA from 1 species